UUGAUCAUGGCUCAGAUUGAACGCUGGCGGCAGGCCUAACACAUGCAAGUCGAGCGGUAACAGGGGAAGCUUGCUUCCCGCUGACGAGCGGCGGACGGGUGAGUAAUGUAUGGGGAUCUGCCCGAUAGAGGGGGAUAACCACUGGAAACGGUGGCUAAUACCGCAUAAUCUCUUAGGAGCAAAGCAGGGGAACUUCGGUCCUUGCGCUAUCGGAUGAACCCAUAUGGGAUUAGCUAGUAGGUGGGGUAAUGGCUCUCCUAGGC
rnacentral:rRNA from 1 species